rnacentral:rRNA from 2 species
AGAGUUUGAUCAUGGCUCAGAUUGAACGCUGGCGGCAGGCCUAACACAUGCAAGUCGAACGGUAACAGGAAGCAGCUUGCUGCUUCGCUGACGAGUGGCGGACGGGUGAGUAAUGUCUGGGAAACUGCCUGAUGGAGGGGGAUAACUACUGGAAACGGUGGCUAAUACCGCAUAACGUCGCAAGACCAAAGAGGGGGACCUUCGGGCCUCUUGCCAUCAGAUGUGCCCAGAUGGGAUUAGCUGGUUGGUGAGGUAACGGCUCACCAAGGCGACGAUCCCUAGCUGGUCUGAGAGGAUGACCAGCCACACUGGAACUGAGACACGGUCCAGACUCCUACGGGAGGCAGCAGUGGGGAAUAUUGCACAAUGGGCGCAAGCCUGAUGCAGCCAUGCCGCGUGUAUGAAGAAGGCCUUCGGGUUGUAAAGUACUUUCAGCGGGGAGGAAGGUGUUGUGGUUAAUAACCGCAGCAAUUGACGUUACCCGCAGAAGAAGCACCGGCUAACUCCGUGCCAGCAGCCGCGGUAAUACGGAGGGUGCAAGCGUUAAUCGGAAUUACUGGGCGUAAAGCGCACGCAGGCGGUCUGUCAAGUCGGAUGUGAAAUCCCCGGGCUCAACCUGGGAACUGCAUUCGAAACUGGCAGGCUUGAGUCUUGUAGAGGGGGGUAGAAUUCCAGGUGUAGCGGUGAAAUGCGUAGAGAUCUGGAGGAAUACCGGUGGCGAAGGCGGCCCCCUGGACAAAGACUGACGCUCAGGUGCGAAAGCGUGGGGAGCAAACAGGAUUAGAUACCCUGGUAGUCCACGCCGUAAACGAUGUCUACUUGGAGGUUGUGCCCUUGAGGCGUGGCUUCCGGAGCUAACGCGUUAAGUAGACCGCCUGGGGAGUACGGCCGCAAGGUUAAAACUCAAAUGAAUUGACGGGGGCCCGCACAAGCGGUGGAGCAUGUGGUUUAAUUCGAUGCAACGCGAAGAACCUUACCUGGUCUUGACAUCCACGGAAGUUUUCAGAGAUGAGAAUGUGCCUUCGGGAACCGUGAGACAGGUGCUGCAUGGCUGUCGUCAGCUCGUGUUGUGAAAUGUUGGGUUAAGUCCCGCAACGAGCGCAACCCUUAUCCUUUGUUGCCAGCGGUCCGGCCGGGAACUCAAAGGAGACUGCCAGUGAUAAACUGGAGGAAGGUGGGGAUGACGUCAAGUCAUCAUGGCCCUUACGACCAGGGCUACACACGUGCUACAAUGGCGCAUACAAAGAGAAGCGACCUCGCGAGAGCAAGCGGACCUCAUAAAGUGCGUCGUAGUCCGGAUUGGAGUCUGCAACUCGACUCCAUGAAGUCGGAAUCGCUAGUAAUCGUGGAUCAGAAUGCCACGGUGAAUACGUUCCCGGGCCUUGUACACACCGCCCGUCACACCAUGGGAGUGGGUUGCAAAAGAAGUAGGUAGCUUAACCUUCGGGAGGGCGCUUACCACUUUGUGAUUCAUGACUGGGGUGAAGUCGUAACAAGGUAACCGUAGGGGAACCUGCGGUUG